rnacentral:rRNA from 1 species
UACGAAGGGACUAGCGUUGCUCGGAAUCACUGGGCGUAAAGGGUGCGUAGGCGGGUCUUUAAGUCAGGGGUGAAAUCCUGGAGCUCAACUCCAGAACUGCCUUUGAUACUGAAGAUCUUGAGUCCGGGAGAGGUGAGUGGAACUGCGAGUGUAGAGGUGAAAUUCGUAGAUAUUCGCAAGAACACCAGUGGCGAAGGCGGCUCACUGGCCCGGUACUGACGCUGAGGCACGAAAGCGUGGGGAGCAAACAGG